AUUGAACGCUGGCGGCAGGCCUAACACAUGCAAGUCGAGCGAGCGGCGGACGGGUGAGUAAUGUCUGGGAAACUGCCUGAUGGAGGGGGAUAACUACUGGAAACGGUAGCUAAUACCGCAUACCAUCAGAUGUUCCCAGAUGGGAUUCGCUAGUAGGUGGGGUAACGGCUCACCUAGGCGACGAUCCCGAGCUGGUCUGAGAGGAUGACCAGCAACAUUGGAACUGAGACACGGGCCAGAGUCCUACGGGAGGCAGCAGUGGGGAAGAUUGCACAAUGGGAGAAAGCCAGAGGUAGCCAUGGCGCGUGGGUGAAGAAGGCCUUGGGGUUGGAAAGCACUUUCAGCGGGGAGGCGUUACCCGCAGAAGAAGCACCGGCUAACACUGUGCCAGCAGCCGCGGUAAUAC
rnacentral:rRNA from 1 species